rnacentral:lncRNA from 7 species
GCAAUUCCAAGACAACACAGGGUCAGAAGGCAAUUAAAUACCUCUUAAAAAAAAUUAGACAUGUUCUAUUGGAAAGAGGAAGAACAGCUGUGCCAACUCACCCAAAAGAAGAGCAUCUUUCACACCUAACUCAAAUCAUGGUGCCACCAAGCAAUUUUUAUUUCCUUUUGAGAAAAACCCUCAUCAAAGAGAGAUGUGAAAUUCCCUGUGAGGCCAGAAGAGUCAUCCAUAAGUCAAUUCAUUUCCAUCAACUGGUAAGGACGCUCAAAAAGCACAGUACUGAACAACACGCCCUAGAAAAGCUAAUCCAUAAAGGGCUAGAGUGCACCUUCAUAGUAGGGUUUCAUGGCAGACAAUGACCAGAGAACACACCGAAGUUCACAGCCCUAACUAAGGGGAUACUUCUCACGUUGUGUAACCAACACCAAGCAUCAGUAUAUCCAAACCAAUGGUGUGAAAAAUGCCUUUAGGGUAAUGGUCUAUGCAAAGCAAAUGACUUGUGAAACAUCACUCCUGUUUCCUCCAGAGAGGAAAAUACCCCUUUCAAAGCAGAGGGAGUGGCUGAAACCUGCUUUGCAGCCUCAGCUGUUAAAUUUGAGGACCUUGGUCAAAAGAGAAACAGGAGAAAUGCAAGAAGCAAACUAGCUGGUCUAGUGCCAGCUGGCUGAAGCAAACAACCCACAUGCCCUCCUACAGGACCACAGCACUCUCAUCGCUUCCACUCAGCUCCGUGGCUGCUUACACAGACCCGUGUGCUGCAACCCAUGAGGAAUCAGAAACGUUUCUCUGUAUUACGGGAAUAGUCUGCAAUAUGCAGUCCAGAAAAAUGGACAAAGAUUCCACUUUGGAAGAAAAAGGCACCCACAAGACUGAAGUAGCCUUCAAAAAAGUGAUUGGGGAAAAAUGUAAUUCCGUUUCAGAACUUAAAAAAGAGCAAUAGCAGAACCCAGUGGCUGCAAGUAAACAAGAAACAGGUAAGAAGAUGAAUGUCACCAGCACGUUUAAUCAAGUAUUCUUUGUUUCUCACGGUCCUGGAGAUGCUAACCAGCAAUGGGAAGAUAUGAGGUGGAAGGCAUUUCCAUUUUUAACUGCAAGUUCUAAAUUACUGGAUAUUUUUGGGACCAUCAAUUUUUCAGAGCACUAUGAGAGUCUCUUUCAGGUAAGAAGCACGCAGAACGAAGAAAACUGGUGCUGGACUGUACAAGGAAGGAGAGCACUUUCUCAUAGGAAAUCAAUAAAGCACGGUAUUCCUGGGUGCU